UUGAUCAGCAGUAGUUCAAUCAACUCUGAGUAUGUUCACUCUGAGUUUGGCGUGUGCGUUGGAAUGAAAAAAGCCAUCAUCAAUGGAGCUCUGAUACUACGCUUCACCAUGGCAACGGGUAAACAAAGAGCACAGCCUCCAUUUUAAUCCAGUUGAGCAGAAAUAUGAACACAUGCCAAUGACCAUGACAUUUAUGUUGAAAAACAGGAGUGAAGAGAGGUUCAAUAAAUGAACACUAUUACAUUUUAUACAGUGUAAUCCACUCAUUCAUCAUUUAACAGACUUCAUUAAUGAUGAUAAAUGCUGCAGUCUGACCAUAUGUUACAUUUGAUAUUUAUUUACUUAUAAUUAUAAAGUCCAACUGAAGUGUCAAUGUUCAAACUGACUCACUCUAUUUUACUUUAAAACAUUUUGCUCAACACUAUUUCAUGACUAUAUUUCCAGGUGUAAAUAUAAACUCAGUCACUGUCAAACAUUAAUAUUUCGUCUGCAGCGAGAUUCAAAAAGUCACUUCUACACUACAGUGAAGUUAAAGUGUUUCCAGCUACAUCAUAAAUAUUCACAUCAGCUAUAAUCUCCAUCAUGAUCAGCGAUCUAUGCCAGGAACAUUUCACAACAUGAUGUCUACAGUACAGAGAGUGUCUACAGUGAUGAUGAGCCUACAGUAACACACGGUAAAACAGUCUGACAGUGUUGGUGUGAACUACGGGGGAGUCAGUCCUCUCACCCCCCCUUAAUGACACAUGAACUCCCCUGGAAACAUGAUUUGUGAGAUUUUGGGGGCGUCUCUAAAAUGUUGGCAAAAUAUUGUUUUUUGAUUGAUUUGAUUAAGUUUUGAUGAUAUGUGCUGACGUAACACAAGUAGACUACAGGCUUGUAAUAAUGGAUGUGUUGAGUUGAGUAUGUACUUUUUUUGUCGUGGAGAUGCGACCUAAACGAGUGUUAGACAGCUGCUUUAGGCUCAGCAGGAGGAGGAGACAGAGAAACUCAGGGUUUGUUGAAGAAAACCUGCCAGCGAGCAGGUUAGGUUCACAGAGUAUGUUGCCGGGGUAAUUGACUCAGCGUUAAGCUGAACUGGCUUUGUGAAACCGAAAAACCAGAGUUUCCUUCAUCUCAGUGUUAACUAACUCAGAGUUUUCACUAAACCUGCUUUCUGAAACGGGCCCCAGGUCGUUGCUUCUGGACCUUCUCUCCGUAGGCUGCCUCAUCUUCCUUUGAGAUUAGUCCGAUCACUGUGGUGUCAUCAGCAAAUUUGACAAUGAUGUUGUCACUGUGGGCCGGACUGCAGUUGUCGUGUAGAGGCAAUACAGGAGGGGACCCAGCACGCAGCCCUGUGGUGUACCAGUGCUCAGCAUGCAGGGGUAGGAGCGAUGGAGGCCAAGUCUCAUAGUCUGGGGUCUCUUUGUGAGAAAAUCCUUAAUCCAGGUACAUGUGAGAGGGGGGAGGCCCAGGGUGUUCAGUUUGGAGAUCAGAAUGUCUGUGAUGAUUGUGUUAAAUGCAGAGCUGUAGUCCACAAAGAGCAUCCUGGCAUGGGGGGGGGGAGACAGUCUUUGGUGUGGGGGAUAUUUGUGGCUGAUUUCAGGCAGGUGGGGAUGACUGCAUGGGCCAGGGAGAAUCCUGCACAAGACGUGGGACAGCUGGUGGGCACAGGUUUUGAGCUCCUUGCCAGGUCCUUCGUCUUGGCCUGCAGCCUUCCUGGGGUUCACUGCGAGGAGCACAUGACGCGUGAUGUCAUCACGGUUGUCAGGAGAGACGCUCGUGACCCCGCCCCCUGAGGUCAAGUGGAGUGGAGAAGACACUAAGAGACAGAGAGACCAGUGUUGGUGACUCCAGCUGUUUCAGGACUCUCUGUUUUGGACUUAUUGACAGCUCCUUUGUCCAAACCUGUGGUGGUUCUCUCAAUAGGAGCUCCUGUCCUCAAGGUUCCAGGGUCAUGGAUUGAGUCGAUCAGAUGUGAUGUGUUGCACAAGGCCAGUGACGUGGCCUUUAGAGACCGUCUGAACCUCCAUCGUCCAGAAGUUUCUGCCCUGGGCAGUGAU